UUUCUGUUGAACCCUUUGGUCUACCCCUUCCUCUUUUAGUUGGAGCAUUAGGUGUUGCUCUUGGGCCAACAAUUUGUGUUGAUGUUGGUGCAGCAGCAGGGACAACAGUUUAUGUUGAUGUUGGUGCAGCAGCAGGGCCAGAAGGAGGUCUUGAACUUGGUGCAGCAGGGCCAAAAGGAGGUCUUGAACUUGGUCCAGCAGCAGGUCUUGAACUUGGUCCAGCAGUAAAGCUUGUGCCAGAAGCAGGUGCACCAAGAGGACACUUUCUUUUAUUGUGACCCUUGUUAUGACAAGUGCUGCAUGACAUCUCAAUCCCUCUUUUGGAUAAUUUUCCAGUUUUACUGGUUUCACCUUGCUUUUUCUUCCUUUUCUUGCCAGGCCUUCCUGGCAUCUUCCUAAUAUGAGGUCGUAUCAUAGAGAUGUUUUGUGAUUCUGGCCAUAUUUUCAGAUUCAUAACUGGCUGAAUGAAGUAGUUGUAUGUCUUCAUGUAUGUUUCUCUGUUAUACCAAUGAGAAAUGUAGUUGAUUG
rnacentral:lncRNA from 1 species